rnacentral:tRNA from 1 species
GGGGGUGUAGCUCAAUAAUAGAGCAUUUGCUUACCAUACACGAGGCUCUGGGUUUGAUCCCCAGCAUUACCA